UCGUGGUCUGCAGCACGCG
rnacentral:snRNA from 1 species